ACACUAGUGCAAAGGGGAAGGACCAGUAGCAAAAAUUUCCCUUACAAAGCCCAAAAGCAUGGAUUCCAUCCCACCCAAACGGCAUAAGUAAAAAAGGAAAAACUAAAACUUCAUUUGGCAGACUUUCCUUCUGAAAAAAAAAUGGGUUUCAAAUCUUUCUUUUAAAAUUCUUUAACUUCUCCCCUCCCCCUCUGUCAAUCCAUGGAUUUCAUCGGCGCAUGCAGCACCUCCGUCCGUCAAAUGAAAAAUUUGUAGGUUCAUGGGCGUGUACGUCUCCUACGGAGGUGGAGUGACGCACGGUGCGGAGAUUCGCGCGAUGUGCGGUGCCUGGGGACUGCUUCGGUUGCAAACGGCAGCUCCUUGGUUUUUUGUUGAAGUGUGUCUGUGUUUUGGGCCAUUUGGGCCGUGUUUGCAAAUAGGUAUUUAGGUUUGGGUCUGUUUUUGUUGGGUUUUGGUUUCUAGAGGUUUGGGCUGGGCAAAUUUUGGGCCCUACAUA